GUACAGAGGGUUUUGAGCUCUUUAGUGCAGGUUCGUUCACCUGUCUUUCUAAAA
rnacentral:tRNA from 1 species